UACGUAGGGUGCAAGCGUUAAUCGGAAUUACUGGGCGUAAAGCGUGCGCAGGCGGUUCGUUGUGUCGGCGGUGAAAGCCCCGGGCUUAACCUGGGAAUGGCCGUUGAAACUGGCGAACUGGAGUGUGGCAGAGGGGGGUGGAAUUCCGCGUGUAGCAGUGAAAUGCGUAGAUAUCAGGAGGAACACCUGUGGCGAAGGCGAUCACCUGGGGUUGUUCUGACGCUGAGGAGCGAAAGCUAGGGGAGCAAACGGG
rnacentral:rRNA from 1 species